rnacentral:hammerhead_ribozyme from 1 species
AUCCAGCUAACGAGUCCCAAAUAGGACGAAACGCGUGUCCUGGU